rnacentral:tRNA from 1 species
UCCUCCUUAGCUCAGUUGGUUAGNNGGUUAGAGCAUCUGACUGUUAAUCAGAGGGUCGCUGGUUCAAGUCCAGCAGGGGGAGCCU